CAGGGAGACGACCUGGUAGAUAGACCACGCGUGGAGGCCUGGUAACAGGUGAAGCGAAGUGGCCCUAAUGAUCGAACGGCUUG
rnacentral:rRNA from 1 species